rnacentral:rRNA from 1 species
CUCCGUGGCACCCAACGGUGGGUGCUCCGUGGAGACGCCAAUACGGCCUACUUCCAGGCGAUUGCCAAUGGGCGACGGUGACGGAACUCCAUCCAUUACUUGUGGGAUGGUGAUACUCCUCUCGUCCGUCCUUCGGACAUCCGAGUCCACGUCGAUGGCUUUUAUAAGCCCUAUUUCCCCGCACCCCGAGGGGUGGGGCCUCACUGGCCCCCGACACUUGGUCGGCUAACCAGUUAGUGUCUGACGAGGCAAAUGCCGCCCUGGUGGCGCCUUUCUCUAAGGACGAGGUCCUUGCGGCCAUAA